GAUCCUGGCUCAGGAUGAACGCUGGCGGCGUGCCUAACACAUGCAAGUCGAACGAAGCACCUUACCUGAUUCUUCGGAUGAAGGUCUGGUGACUGAGUGGCGGACGGGUGAGUAACGCGUGGGUAACCUGCCCUGUACAGGGGGAUAACAGCUGGAAACGGCUGCUAAUACCGCAUAAGCGCACGAGGAGACAUCUCCUUGUGUGAAAAACUCCGGUGGUACAGGAUGGGCCCGCGU
rnacentral:rRNA from 1 species